AUUAAAUGCGAUGAUGAUAAAUGCUUAUUAUACCCAGCUCAUUACGAGGUCUUCUUUGUGGAGAUCAAGGAAUUGACUUAUUUCCAAUAUUUAUCUGAGCAUUGUU
rfam:Beta vulgaris subsp. vulgaris chromosome 4, whole genome shotgun sequence.